AAGUCAUGGUAAGGGACAUUGCUUUAGUAGCUUAUUAAAUCUCUCCCAUGCCUCUUGGAAUGGCUCUCUUAGUAGUUGGGAGAAAUUAAAAAUCUUGUACCUGGAGCU